GAAGGAUGAGACUGGUGAGUGGUCAGAGAGAAAGACUACUGGAGCUGCUGGGAGGUCAGCCAGAAGGAGGAGACUGGUGAGUGGUCAGAGAGAAAGACUACUGGAGCUGCUGGGAGGUCAGCCAGAAGGAGGAGACUGGUGAGUGGACAGAGAGAAAGACUACUGGAGCUGCUGGGAGGUCAGCCAGAAGGAGGAGACUGGUGAGUGGACAGAGAGAAAGACUACUGGAGCUGCUGGGAGGUCAGCCAGAAGGAGGAGACUGGUGAGUGGAGAGAGAGAUGAGAGGUCAGCCAGAAGGAGGAGAUGGGUGAGUGGAGAGAGAGAUGAGAGGUCAGUCAGGAGGAGGAGACCGGUGAGUGGAGAGAGAGAUGAGAGGUCAGCCAGAAGGAGGAGAUGGGUGAGUGGAGAGAGAGAUGAGAGGUCAGCCAGAAGGAGGAGAUGGGUGAGUGGAGAGAGAGAUGAGAGGUCAGCCAGAAGGAGGAGACUGGUGAGUGGAGAGAGAGAUGAGAGGUCAGCCAGAAGGAGGAGACUGGUGAGUGGAGAGAGAGAUGAGAGGUCAGCCAGAAGGAGGAGAUGGGUGAGUGGAGAGAGAGAUGAGAGGUCAGCCAGAAGGAGGAGAUGGGUGAGUGGAGAGAGAGAUGAGAGGUCAGCCAGAAGGAGGAGAUGGGUGAGUGGAGAGAGAGAUGAGAGGUCAGCCAGAAGGAGGAGACUGGUGAGUGGAGAGAGAGAUGAGAGGUCAGCCAGAAGGAGGAGAUGGGUGAGUGGAGAGAGAGAUGAGAGGUCAGCCAGAAGGAGGAGAUGGGUGAGUGGAGAGAGAGAUGAGAGGUCAGCCAGAAGGAGGAGAUGGGUGAGUGGACAGAGAGAUGAGAGGUCAGCCAGAAGGAGGAGAUGGGUGAGUGGAGAGAGAGAGAUGAGAGGUCAGCCAGAAGGAGGAGAGUGGAG